rnacentral:misc_RNA from 1 species
GAAAUGCGAUAAGUAAUGUGAAUUGCAGAAUUCAGUGAAUCAUCGAAUCUUUGAACGCACAUUGCGCUCGCCAGUAUUCUGGCGAGCAUGCCUGUUCGAGCGUCAUUUCAACCAUCAAGCUCUGCUUGCGUUGGGGAUCCGCGGCUGCCCGCGGUCCCUCAAAAACAGUGGCGGACUCGCUAGUCACACCGAGCGUAGUAACUCUACAUCGCUAUGGUCGUGCGGCGGGUUCUUGCCGUAAAACCCCCAAUUUCUAAGGUUGACCUCGGAUCAGGUAGGAAUACCCGCUGAACUUAAGC